rnacentral:rRNA from 1 species
UCAACCUACGGGAGGCAGCAGUCGAGAAUCAUUCACAAUGGGGGAAACCCUGAUGGUGCGACGCCGCGUGGGGGAAUGAAGGUCUUCGGAUUGUAAACCCCUGUCAUGUGGGAGCAAAUUAAAAAGAUAGUACCACAAGAGGAAGAGACGGCUAACUCUGUGCCAGCAGCCGCGGUAAUACAGAGGUCUCAAGCGUUGUUCGGAGUCACUGGGCGUAAAGGGUGCGAAGGCUGUUUCGUAAGUCGUGUGUGAAAGGCGCGGGCUCAACCCGCGGACGGCACAUGAUACUGCGAGACUAGAGGAAA